AGUGAACGCUGGCGGCGUGCCUAAUACAUGCAAGUCGAACGAAGUGGCGCACGGGUGAGUAAUAUAUAGUUAAUCUGCCCUACACAGAGGAACAACAGUUGGAAACGACUGCUAAUACCUCAUAGUGCAGGAUGAGACUAUAUCGUAUCAGCUAGUUGGUAAGGUAAUGGCUUACGAAGGCUAUGACGAGUAACUGGUCUGAGAGGAUGAUCAGUAACAUUGGAACUGAGACACGGGCCAAAAUCAUACGGGAGGCAGCAGUAAGGAAUAUUGCGCAAGGGGGGAAACCCUGACGCAGCAACGCCGCGUGGAGGAUGAUACGUUUCGGAGAGUAAACGCCUUUUAUCAGGAAAGCGGUACCUGCUGAAUAAGCACCGGCUAACUCCGUGCCAGCAGCCGCGGUAAUAC
rnacentral:rRNA from 1 species